GAUUAGCUCAGUUGGUUAGAGCGCCACCUUUACACGGUGGAUGUCGGGGGUUCGAAUCCCUCAUCGCC
rnacentral:tRNA from 5 species